UACGUAGGUGGCAAGCGUUAUCCGGAAUUAUUGGGCGUAAAGAGCGCGCAGGUGGUUGAUUAAGUCUGAUGUGAAAGCCCACGGCUUAACCGUGGAGGGUCAUUGGAAACUGGUCGACUUGAGUGCAGAAGAGGGAAGUGGAAUUCCAUGUGUAGCGGUGAAAUGCGUAGAGAUAUGGAGGAACACCAGUGGCGAAGGUGGCUUCCUGGUCUGUAACUGACACUGAGGCGCGAAAGCGUGGGGAGCAAACAGGAUUAGAUA
rnacentral:rRNA from 1 species